UACGUAGGGACCGAGCGUUGUCCGGAAUCAUUGGGCGUAAAGAGCGUGUAGGCGGCCACUUAAGUCCUGCGUGAAGUCUUGCGGCUCAACCGCAAGCGGUCGUGGGAAACUGGGUGGCUAGAGUGCGGGAGAGGAGAGUGGAAUUCCUGGUGUAGCGGUGGAAUGCGCAGAUAUCAGGAGGAACACCGGUGGCGAAGGCGGGUCUCUGGGCCGAUACUGACACUGAGAAGCGAAAGCGUGGGGAGCGAACAGG
rnacentral:rRNA from 1 species